GGCGGCGCGCUUAACACAUGCAAGUCGCACGAGAAAGGGAGCAAUCCUAAGUAAAGUGGCGCACGGGUGAGUAACACGUGGAUCAUCUACCUUUUAGUGGGGAAUACCUCUGGGAAACCGGAGACAAUACCGCAUAAGCCUGUAAAGGGAAAGCAGCAAUGCGCUGAAAGAGGAGUCCGCGGCCGAUUAGCUAGUUGGCGGGGUAAUGGCCCACCAAGGCGAAGAUCGGUAGCCGGCCUGAGAGGGCACACGGCCACACUGGCACUGAAACACGGGCCAGACUCCUACGGGAGGCAGCAGUGGGGAAUCUUGCACAAUGGACGAAAGUCUGAUGCAGCGACGCCGCGUGAGCGAUGAAGCCCUUCGGGGUGUNAAGCUCUUUCGACGGGAACGAUAAUGACGGUACCCGGAGAAGAAGCUGCGGCUAACUACGUGCCAGCAGCCGCGGUAAUACGUANGCAGCGAGCGUUGUUCGGAAUUACUGGGCGUAAA
rnacentral:rRNA from 1 species